UGGGGAAUAUUGGACAAUGGGCGAAAGCCUGAUCCAGCAAUGCCGCGUGAGUGAUGAAGGCCUUAGGGUUGUAAAGCUCUUUUACCCGGGAUGAUAAUGACAGUACCGGGAGAAUAAGCUCCGGCUAACUCCGUGCCAGCAGCCGCGGUAAUACGGAGGGAGCUAGCGUUGUUCGGAAUUACUGGGCGUAAAGCGCGCGUAGGCGGUUUUUUAAGUCAGAGGUGAAAGCCCAGUGCUCAACACUGGAACUGCCUUUGAAACUGGAAAACUUGAAUCUUGGAGAGGUCAGUGGAAUUCCGAGUGUAGAGGUGAAAUUCGUAGAUAUUCGGAAGAACACCAGUGGCGAAGGCGACUGACUGGACAAGUAUUGACGCUGAGGUGCGAAAGCGUGGGGAGCAAACAGGAUUAGAUACCCUUGUAGUCCCUGAGCGGGCUGGCAAGGCGCAU
rnacentral:rRNA from 1 species